AUUGAACGCUGGCGGCAGGCCUAACACAUGCAAGUCGAACGAGUGGCGGACGGGUGAGUAAUGCCUGGGAAUCUGCCUGAUGGAGGGGGAUAACGACUGGAAACUGUCGCUAAUACCGCAUACCAUCGGAUGAGCCCAGGUGGGAUUAGGUAGUAGGUGGGGUAAAGGCCCACCUAGGCGACGAUCCCUAGCUGGUCUGAGAGGAUGACCAGCCACACUGGAACGGAGACACGGCCCAGACUCCUACGGGAGGCAGCAGUGGGGAAUAUUGCGCAAUGGGCGCAAGCCUGACGCAGCCAUGCCGCGUGUAUGAAGAAGGCCUUCGGGUUGUAAAGUACUUUCAGCGGGGAGGCGUUACCCGCAGAAGAAGCACCGGCUAACUCCGUGCCAGCAGCCGCGGUAAUAC
rnacentral:rRNA from 1 species